CUGUAAUCCAUUUUUAUUAAUAAAAUUAAUUUAAUAUAUUGUUAAAAGUUAUUAAAAACAGCAUUAACUUAUAAAUUGUAUGAAUAAAUAAUAAUUAAAUAGUAAUUUGUACCAACCAUAGAGUAGGUACAUGAAAAAUUAGAUCUAACUCCAUCAAAUUUGGUAUAAUUUGUCAUGAAUAGGUAAGUACUAAAAUAUAAGUAUAUUAUUAUACAUAUACAUAUUACUCUAUGGUACCAACAAUUCAACAAAAAACGAUUGGGUAUACUUACAGUUUAUAGUACUAUGGGGAAAAUACUCCUGUAGUCCAUAACAAAAAUAUAUUAGAUUAAAAUUUAUAUCUCGGCUAUUCACUCACUCUACUAGCAGAUUCUUAUCAAACACCUUUGGAAUUUUUUUAUCCAGUUAAUUCACCUAAUUUAGUUAAUGAACAAUCAAACGAGCUUUAACAGAGAAGCAUGAGCAACUGUGUUGAACCAAUUAAAAGAUUGGAGAACAAGCAAUAUAUAUAUCAGAAGCACAAUGUGAGAUUAUUAUAAGCAUAGUUAAGUUAGAUGUAUCAAGGCGGAAAAUUAGUGAUCUUUUAUUUUACAUACUUGUAUACAAUAUUAUGUUAAAGAAACGGGACCAUUUUUGCAAGUCCUGCUGUAAAUCAACAAAAAUCUGGUAUCAGCAUGAUAAGUAUAGAUAAAUGUGUAUAAUUGAUUGGGUAUGGCUAUUGUCUUAGCCAUUUAGCCACACAUCAUUAAAUUAUUUAUCCCCUACUAAUUAUAUACCCACUAGCUCUUUAUUAACUAUACAUAAUAAAUAAAAUAACCAGUGUUCAAUAAUUAUGAAAAAUAAUUAUUUAUAGUUUAUUGUACAUAUGAAAAUGCUGAAUAUAUAAUCAAUGAUAAAAAAGUAAUAUAAAUAUAAUAAUUCUAGGGUACAUAAAUAUCAUGAAAGUUUUUGUUUUUCUUCAGUUAAGUUUUUUACUCUACCAAAAAAUAAAAUAUCUUUGUUUUGGCUUUUAUAGCAAGGUCCAACAGAAAAUAUAGCCUGCUGCUGAACUUGAAAUCAUUCCUGAAG